rnacentral:rRNA from 1 species
GAUGAACGCUAGCGACAGGCCUAACACAUGCAAGUCGAGGGGCAGCACAAUGGUAGCAAUACUAUGGUGGCGACCGGCGCACGGGUGAGUAACACGUAUGCAACCUGCCUGCAACAUUGGGAUAACCCGUUGAAAGACGGCCUAAUACCGAAUAAAACAGGGACACCGCCUGGUGAUAUUUGUUAAAGAUUAAUUGCUGAUAGAUGGGCAUGCGUUCCAUUAGGUAGUUGGUGAGGUAAUGGCUCACCAAGCCGACGAUGGAUAGGGGAACUGAGAGGUUGGUCCCCCACACUGGUACUGAGACACGGACCCGACUCCUACGGGAGGCAGCAGUGAGGAAUAUUGGUCAAUGGGCGAGAGCCUGAACCAGCCAAGUCGCGUGAAGGAAGAAGGAUCUAUGGUUCGUAAACUUCUUUUGCAGGGGAAUAAAGUGGAGGACGUGUCCUCUUUUGUAUGUACCCUGAGAAUAAGGAUCGGCUAACUCCGUGCCAGCCGCCGCCGUAACAC